rnacentral:lncRNA from 1 species
GAGCUUGAGAAGGAAUCAGAUUCUGCAUAUAUUUCCAAGUUAACAUGAACAAGAUUUUCUGAAAGACUGCUAUGGAGUCUGAGAAAAAAUGUCAAAGAUUGAGGACAUGAAGAGGAAAGAACUGACAGAGGAGGUGAAGAAAGGUGAUCAGGAAGAGCCAUCAAAGUGUUAUCCUGGAAUUCAAGUGAAGACAGUGUUUCAAAGUGGAAAUGAACAGUGUCCUGUAACCCUCAGAGUGAGACUAGAGUCAGAAUGCAGGCUUUUCUCAUUUGAAAUCUAUUGAAUAAACAUCAGUAAAAGAAGCAAUCCAAGUUCUCAUGCCAAAUAUGUAUAUGUCCAAGACCAGGAUUUCUUCAUGUCUGAAUGUGGAUAUGGAGCCUAGAGUACUAGCAAGGUAAGUCCAGGUCCUUACCUCCACCUAAAAGUUCUGCCAUCAAGGAACAUCUGCUCAUUAUCUUCUGUUCACACAUCAAAUGACUUCAAUGUGAUCCCUGGAUGUUCUCCAAAGAGCUGAAGGGAAAUAAAUAUUCUUUCUUUAUCACCAAAUACUUCAACUGCAGAGUGAUUGUGCUACCAAGGCCUGAAACUUCGGAAAAACCUGCAUAACACAAAAUAUAAAAUAUGCCACAGAGAGGAUCCAGAGAGCCCAUCUCCGGUCAGUUAUCUGUAUUUGUAUGUCAACUACAGCAUCAAAAAGCAUAGGCAUGGAUACUAAGGACCCCCUCUGUACACCAACGCCAGUCCAAAGGACAGUGUGUCACUGUGAACUGGAAAUUCAUCUCUCUUCUUCAAUUUUUUUCUACCUACUUUAUGCUUUAUCUCUAAGUUGAGGCUGUUUAUGGCCUCAUCCUCAAUUACCUUGUCCCUC